rnacentral:lncRNA from 1 species
CAACUGCCCAAGUGGGGUAGAUACAGGCUGAGACAUACUCACAUGCUAUUCACCACCAUCCAAAACUCCAUCACUGCCAACUCAACAAAAAUUUCAACUAUCAGAAAACCCCCCUAUAAUGGAUGCCAAAGAUGAUAUACAUUGUUUGAUCAUCUUCAAUAUGUACAGCCAAAUACUGUCCAGCCGUAUGAAUCGAAAAUCUAUACAUUAGGAAAACUCCACAUU